rnacentral:rRNA from 1 species
UGGCGGACGGGUGAGUAAUGUCUGGGAAACUGCCCGAUGGAGGGGGAUAACUACUGGAAACGGUAGCUAAUACCGCAUAACGUCGCAAGACCAAAGAGGGGGACCUUCGGGCCUCUUGCCAUCGGAUGUGCCCAGAUGGGAUUAGCUUGUAGGUAAGGUAACGGCUUACCUAGGCGACGAUCCCUAGCUGGUCUGAGAGGAUGAUCAGCCACACUGGGACUGAGACACGGCCAG